CUGUCUCUAUAAAAAUUUUUAAAAUUUGGUUUUUAGGUGAAGAAACCUAAAUUAAAUUGACAGACAAGAAGACCCUAUCGAGCUUUAAAAAAAUUAGUUAAGUAAAUAGUCUAAACUAACCUUAACUAUAAAUUUUGGUUGGGGCGACCAAGGAACAAACAAAGCUUCCUUAAAUACCACAAAAUAAAUAGAUAAUGAUCCAAAAAAUUUGAUUAAUAAAAUUAGUUACCGUAGGGAUAACAGCAUAAUCUUUUUUAAGAGUUCUAAUCGAAAAAAAGGUUUGUGACCUCGAUGUUGGACUAGGAUAUCCAGAAAGAUGCAGAAGUCU
rnacentral:rRNA from 1 species